CCUACGGGAGGCAGCAGUGAGGAAUAUUGGUCAAUGGACGCAAGUCUGAACCAGCCAUGCCGCGUGCAGGAAGACGGCCCUAUGAGUUGUAAACUGCUUUUUUACGAGGGUAAACGCAGAUACGCGUAUCUGUCUGAAAGUAUCGUACGAAUACGGAUCGGCUAACUCCGUGCCAGCAGCCGCGGUACUACGGAGGAUUCAAGCGUUAUCCGGAUUUAUUGGGUUUAAAGGGUGCGUAGGCGGUCGGAUAAGUUAGAGGUGAAAUCCCGAGGCUCAACUUCGGAAUUGCCUCUGAUACAGUGCGGCUAGAGAGUAGUUGCGGUAGGCGGAAUGUAUGGUGUAGCGGUGAAAUGCUUAGAGAUCAUACAGAACGCCGAUUGCGAAGGCAGCUUACCAAGCUACUUCUGACGUUGAGGCACGAAAGCGUGGGGAGCAAACAGGAUUAGAUACCCUAGUAGUC
rnacentral:rRNA from 1 species